rnacentral:lncRNA from 1 species
GAGUUUGAGAGGGGGCCAUGGUCAAACCAUCACUUUAAGAAUUAACAAAAUCUCUAAACUUCGAAAAAAAAAAGAAAAAAUAUAAAAAUUACGCUCUAAGGCAGUUUAUACAUAUGGAACUAAGUGCCUAAAGGUAGAAUAAAGCUGUAGUAAUUUUUUAUCAGACUACUGUUAAAAUUUUGCAACAUAUUGGUUCAACUGAUUGCUAAGUUUACAAUAUAUUUUUUCUUUAUUUUUAUUCAUUACGUAGGGAAAAGUAAUUUUAGUUAUCUGUUUGUUUUGCUUCAUAGAAUAUUCCUGUAUAUAUGUUUUUCAUAAUAUACUUUAAAAGAAAUGAAUAGAGAGCCAUUUAGAAUUUAAAACUAUAAAUUUAAAGUUUGUUUAAUAGAACAUAAAGCAAUUUGCAAUACAAACAAAGUCGUAGCCACCAACUUUAUUAUAUCUACCAUCAAUUUC